GGCGCCCGCGACGCGCUCAGUCCCUGAGCCGCCCCAGGCCCGCACCCGCCUCCAUUAGCACUGGCAGCAGCGGCGGCGGCGGCGGCAGCAGCAGCAACAACCUGCCUUCGCCAUGUUGGAAGGAAACGACGUCAGGGCCGCAGCCGCGCGGCUGCGGAGAGAGAGGAAGCGGCUGUUGUACCCCAGCCGGGCGGGCGGGCGGAGGGAAGCGGGCAAGCUGGGGAGCGCUCGCCUUCUGCCCGCCCCGCGGGAGCGCUACAGGUGGAGUAGACCCGCGGGAGGCGGUGGAGAGGGAGUGGAGAUGUGAUGGUAUGAAGAUAAAGCUAGAAUGUUUCAUUUGACGAACUGUUGGACUAUGAGCAGGCGGAAUCAAACCAUCACAUCUGAAUCUGGUUUCUUCUGGCCCAUGCUUGGAAAGGUUUCUACUGUAACAAUCCAGAGGUCUGUGCUCCACUCUAAUGAGAAGCCUGAUCCAAGGUCUGCCAAACCUAGGAAACACCUACUACACACCAAAAACUCGAUUCCUUGGGUCUAAAAGCUGUGCAUGGAAAGAUAGAGUGUUUGUACUGAGGGCAGCUACUCCCUUUUGCAGGAUGGAAAUAACCCUUGAGCAACAAGAACAACAUGUACUGAAGAUUUACUGGCAUGUGUGAAAACUCUCAGAGACUCCUUUUCCUUACAAUGACAGUGUCUGCUGUUGCCUUACGUUACUCUGGAUAUUUUCAUCAUCUACUUGUAGGGAAGAUGCUGAUUCUUCCUAAUACCAUGUCUUUACCUUCUGCUGUGUUGUCCAUUCUUAAAACAAUAUUCUUGCACCUCCUGGUGCAAGGAACGAGAUCCUGUGGUUUUAAAUUCCCAGUCUAUGUUUACUGGUACUUGCAAAAUGGCUCUGAAGACUUUGUAAGAGAACUGUUCAUUCCAGCUAUGCUGGUGACUGUCUCCUGAACAGUAAAUGCGUGUCCCCCAAAUACGUGCAGCAGUGACUUUACACAUGUAAGUAAAAGAUGGUAACGGCAAUGCAGACUUUGGUUCAUUUUUACAUUAUUUUUGCAGCAUAAAGUUGCGUUGAAGAUCAUGUUAGCAUCCCUGGGACUGUCUUGCAUAGUGGAGGGGUUCUCAGCUAACAUAGGCUUUCUGUAAUUGCUUCUGUGUCAGUCCUCUCCUAACUGCAAGCAGAGCUGAAAAAAACCCGGAAGCGUAUUUCACAGGUCUAUACUAUGUUGAAUGUAUGCUUUUGUUCACUCUCACCUCAUUUGUAAUCUCCCCUGGCAGACAAUUCACACUCACUUUUAUCCUUACAGUCCUGCUUAAAGAAUUGAGUCGAUGCAAGCCAGACUGUACAGUGCUUACUCCUACUGCAAGUAAUCAGAGUAUUGCAGAAACAUCUAGAGACUUUCAGUGAAAGAGGGAUGGGCUGAAGGGAGUGCUAGCUCUGUGCAAACAUUAUUUCUGCCUUUACAAGUUUGUAAUAUAAAUAAGGAAGGUGGAUGAAUGCUGGAGGAGGAAACAGCUGCACAGGGAGUUGAAGGAAGGUGCUCAAGAUGGGAGAGCAGGUCAGCAGAAGAACCAGGUAUGUAUAUCACCAUAGUUCACAAGAAAGUGCUGUGACUCUCUGCUGCACCAGAACUCGUAUGUCUGCUUACUCCUGUGUAAGUCGUACUGUCUCGCUGUAAGAUUUAAUAAAAACCCCUUUCCUCUUCAGUGGACCCAUUCUAAAUCUUCUGCUGGUAUCACAUUACUGCUGAAUUCUCUAUGCACAACUGAAGUCAAUUUUUAUGAAGUCAUUUACAGAAGU